rnacentral:RNase_P_RNA from 1 species
GCAAUAUAGAGGAAAGUCCAUGCUCACACAAUCUGAGAUGAUUGUAGUGUUCGUGCUUGAUGAAACAAUAAAUCAAGGCAUUAAUUUGACGGCAAUGAAAUAACCUAAGUCAUUGGAUAUGGUUAGAAUAGUUUGAAAGUGCCACAGUGACGUAGCUUUUAUAGAAAUAUAAAAGGUGGAACGCGGUAAACCCCUCGAGUGAGCAAUCCAAAUUGGGUAGGAGCACUUGUUUAGCGGAAUUCAACGUAUAGACGAGACGAUUUUUACGCGAAAGUAAAAAUAUGUAGACAGAUGGUUACCACCGACGUAC